rnacentral:piRNA from 1 species
UGAGUUAUUCAUUCUGGACUCUUGAAAAA